rnacentral:lncRNA from 1 species
AAUAAAAUCCUUGAAAAAGAUAUGUUACUCACUACAUUCUAGUGUCGCAUAUAGUUGCAACUCGUGAACUACAUAUUGCCACAAAACCAAUACAAACGAAAAACUUUUGAAACCAAUACAACCAUAAUGUGUUGUGCUUUACAUUUGUGAUAGGGACAAACUUCUUAACGUUGACAUCUAGGAAUUUUAAAUUAUUGUAGUUACCCUUUGAAAAAGAAAAUCCCAAAUGAGGGGUAUGGAACUCCUAAAUCCUCAUACCUGAGGGAAAUUGAAGGAAUUAGUACUUACAGACUAAGUUUGAUGUCAACGCUGGAAAGCAUUAUCAUGUCAGAAAUACCCCAAGUUUUAUAUCGUUAGGCCUUGGCAAUCUUUACUCGAUCUAGCCACUCCAAAUAAACAGAUGUUUGAUGAAGACAAGUUCUGAAGUCGGUCAACCUUCCUUAUGAAGUAAACUAAUCACAAGCGAUUAAGCAUACAAAUCAGCACAACCCAAAUAAGACUCAAGAAAUAUCAUCCUUUCGGGGUAGAGAGACCAACAUGCAUGCUUAUUCAUUGAAGCAUCUAAUGAAAAAGAAGACGAAGACUCCAAAUCAAAGCCAUCACCACCACCAUAGUUGUGGGAAGAUUUUGUGAAUCAUGAGUGAGACACAUUCAAGUUAAGGUUAAAAAAGAAAAGUGCUUGAAGAAAAUAAGAGGAAGAAAAGCAGGAUCCAGGAAGCAGAAGAUAAGAUAGCAAAGCGAAGAACUUAGGUUCGGCUAAGGCUAUUUAUAUGAGAAGAUUAAGGCAAGACUGUUAUUUUUUAAUUUCGAAAAAAAUUUGAAAAAAACAAUUUAUGCCACUGAAAAUAUUACUAGGUUGAGUCGCGGACUAGAUUGCUCUCUUUAAAACGUUUCGAGGUACUGUCCAAAUUGUGCAAGGUAGACUAUCAACCACGAAGUCCCUAGUAUAAAAUAGCCCAGAUACACUGUAUCGGAAUUCUACUGCACCGUAGAAAACCGUUUUAGAAUUACAUCCUUAAUAUGACAGUCGAAUGACUGACAUUCGUAAUAUGGUACUAAGACCACUCGAAAGAAAAAUAAGAAGUGAGUAAGAAAAGAGGAAAAGAGAGAAAAUCUUCAAAUUCAGAGUGCUUUUAGUGUGGUUUUCCAAUUGAGGAGAACCCUCUAUUUAUAGAGGAAAUCCGCAACUGGAUUAGAGAAAUUCAAGGAUCCAUCUGAACGGGCGCUCCAAGAUUUGACCUCAGAAAUGUGCGCUCAAAAAGCUGGUUGACCACAAAAACGUGCGCUCCAAACUUAGGGUUUUGACCGGGCAAUAACACAGG